rnacentral:rRNA from 1 species
GACGAACGCUGGCGGCGUGCUUAACACAUGCAAGUCGAACGGAGUGGCGAACGGGUGAGUAACACGUUGGUGAUCUGCCUUGCACUUCGGGUUAAGCUUGGGAAUCUAGGUCUAAUACCGGAUAGUGCAAGAUGAGCUCGUGGCCUAUCAGCUUGUUGGUGGGGUAAUGGCCUACCAAGGCGUCGACGGGUAGCCGGCCUGAGAGGGUGUACGGCCACAUUGGGACUGAGAUACUGCCCAGACUCCUACGGGAGGCAGCAGUGGGGAAGAGUGCACAAUGGGCGGAAGCCUGAUGCAGCGACGCCGCGUGGGGGAUGAAGGCCUUCGGGUUGUAAACUCCUUUCGACAGGGACGCGGUACCUGUAUAAGAAGCACCGGCUAACUACGUGCCAGCAGCCGCGGUAAUUC